rnacentral:lncRNA from 1 species
GAGGGUGAUCGGGAGAGAGAGAGGGAGAGAGAGAGAGAUGCGGGACCGAGCCACGCCGCCGCGUGCAACGUUGGUUGCUUGGCCCGACGCCGCCGCUGUUCGGCCAUCGACAACACCGCCCCCUCGUGCUGCCACGAGCCCGAGUCGCUGCUGUUCGCGACCCACCGCUCGAGCCAACGACGACCGAGCUCGCCGCUUCGACCGUCUCCACGACCCAGCCGCUCACUGAUCUCAGCCGAGCCUCACG